GACGAACGCUGGCGGCGUGCCUAACACAUGCAAGUCGAACGGGGUAGAGGCCUUCGGGCUUCUGCUUAGUGGCGAACGGGUGAGUAACGCGUGAGAAACCUGCCUUUCAGUGGGGGACAACAGUUGGAAACGACUGCUAAUACCGCAUAAUGUAUUCGGGGGGCAUCCCUUGAAUACCAAAGCUUAAUGUGCUGAAAGAUGGUCUCGCGUCUGAUUAGCUAGAUGGCGGGGUAACGGCCCACCAUGGCGACGAUCAGUAGCCGGUCUGAGAGGAUGAACGGCCACAUUGGGACUGAGAUACGGCCCAGACUCCUACGGGAGGCAGCAGUGGGGAAUAUUGGGCAAUGGGGGAAACCCUGACCCAGCAACGCCGCGUGAAGGAAGAAGGCCUUCGGGUUGUAAACUUCUUUUAGCAGGGACGAAGAACGUGACGGUACCUGCAGAAAAAGCAACGGCUAACUACGUGCCAGCCGCCGCGGUAACAC
rnacentral:rRNA from 1 species